GGUAUAGAAGUUUAGCAUUUAGAUUGGAGUAGAAAGCCGCCCAAUAUUCGAUUGGAUUAUCUUAAAUUUUUCUCAAUUGGUAAGUGUGAUUAAUUUUAUCUUUCUUUUAUUCAUUUCUAAUUAAGAUAUUAAGAAGUGUAAAAAUUUUGAAUUGACAUUAAUGAUUUGAUUAUGAAUUAUUGAGGUUCUAUUUUGCUAUAAGAUUUGUUAAGAGUUUGUUUAAGACCUUGGAUUUGAUUAGGAUUUGGUUUAGGAUUUGGUUUAGAAUUUGAUUAAGAUUAAGGUUUUUUUGGAAUUUGAUUUAGAAUUUUUCUAGAAUUGAUUAGGAUUUGACUAGGAGUUGAUUAAAGUUUAUUUAGGAUUUAUUUAGGAAUUAUUUAGGAUUUACAUUAGGAUUUUAUUAGGAUUUGAUUUAGAAUUUUUUUAAGAUUCAAUUAGAGUUUUAAUUAGGAUUUGAUCUAGAAUUUUGUUAAGAUUUAAUUAGAGUUUUAAUUAGGAUUUUAUCUAGAAAUUUGUUAAGAUUCAAUUAGAGUUUUAAUUAGUAUUUGAUCUCAGAUUUGAUUAAGAUUUAAUUAGAAUAUUAAUUCAAGUAAUAUUAAAGUUUUUAUUUUUAGUAUU
rnacentral:lncRNA from 1 species